GAGCGGACAGAUGGGAGCUUGCUCCCUGAUGUUAGCGGCGGACGGGUGAGUAACACGUGGGUAACCUGCCUGUAAGACUGGGAUAACUCCGGGAAACCGGGGCUAAUACCGGAUGCUUGAUUGAACCGCAUGGUUCAAUUAUAAAAGGUGGCUUUUAGCUACCACUUACAGAUGGACCCGCGGCGCAUUAGCUAGUUGGUGAGGUAACGGCUCACCAAGGCAACGAUGCGUAGCCGACCUGAGAGGGUGAUCGGCCACACUGGGACUGAGACACGGCCCAGACUCCUACGGGAGGCAGCAGUAGGGAAUCUUCCGCAAUGGACGAAAGUCUGACGGAGCAACGCCGCGUGAGUGAUGAAGGUUUUCGGAUCGUAAAACUCUGUUGUUAGGGAAGAACAAGUACCGUUCGAAUAGGGCGGUACCUUGACGGUACCUAACCAGAAAGCCACGGCUAACUACGUGCCAGCAGCCGCGGUAAUACGUAGGUGGCAAGCGUUGUCCGGAAUUAUUGGGCGUAAAGCGCGCGCAGGCGGUUUCUUAAGUCUGAUGUGAAAGCCCCCGGCUCAACCGGGGAGGGUCAUUGGAAACUGGGGAACUUGAGUGCAGAAGAGGAGAGUGGAAUUCCACGUGUAGCGGUGAAAUGCGUAGAGAUGUGGAGGAACACCAGUGGCGAAAGGCGACUCUCUGGUCUGUAACUGACGCUGAGGCGCGAAAGCGUGGGGAGCGAACAGGAUUAGAUAC
rnacentral:rRNA from 1 species